ensembl:lncRNA
CCCCGCACGGCGCGGCCGGGAGGACGGGGCGGGACGAGCGCGAGGGGUCCGCGGGGAACGCCGGGGGUUCCCGAAGCCCGAGCGGGCCGCGCCUCAAGGAUGGCCUGAAGGAGGGCCUGCCCGCCGCUCUGCGUGCUGCUGCGCUGCUGCCGGCCGGCCCGCGAACGCUGCUCCCUCGCUGCUUUACUUCAGGCACCGAGGCGCGGCGGAUCCCGGGGCGGAUGGGACCUGCAAGGCAGUGGUUUGCUUGUAUCCAUACCUUGGAGAAAGCAACGACACAGAUGAUGGCAUUGAGUGCACCCUCAUCAGUUUGCUGAUGGCACUGAGCCGAGUGCUGCAGUGGAUACAACAGGAGGAAGGGACGCCAUCCAGAGGGACCUGGGCGGGCUCACAGAGUGGGACCACGUGAACCCAAUGAGGUUCAACGAAGCCAAACGCAGGGUGCUGCACUUGGGUUGGAGCAAUCCUGGGCAUGAGUACAGAUGUGAGAAGAACUCCUGGAAAGCAGCACUGCGGAGAAGGACUUGUUGGUUCUGACAGCACGUCUGGCAGCACUACGCCAUGACCCAGCUGUGGGCAUCCCUGUCUCCACUUCUUGAGGUGCCUCGCAUCUCUAACUUUUUUGUGCAAAAAAACUAUGCUCAGAAGGCCCACUGCUAAUUAGUUCUUCUUAAUUCUCUUUCAACUAUCAUAUCCCACAGCACCAUUUAUAUCAUUUUAUUUAUGACUCUGUUAGAUUAGAGGACCUGGACUUCCCAUCUUCAUGCUUUCUUUUCACACAUGUAAGUAAGGUGUUAGAUUUAUUCCCCUGGAGCUUCUGUAGGAUUCCUUGACUACUGAUGCUAAUUGCUCAGUGACUUUCUUAACUAUAAAACACUUGGGUACACACUAUUAAUUCCUGCAGAUAAAAAAUAAAAAGAAGUUGAUUGUA